rnacentral:rRNA from 1 species
AGGUGCGAUCAUACCAGCACUAAUGCACCGGAUCCCAUCAGAACUCCGCAGUUAAUCGUGCUUGGGCGAGAGUAGUACUAGGAUGGGUGACCUCCUGGGAAGUCCUCGUGUUGCACCCC